GGCGGAUGAGCCAAGUGGAUCAAGGCAG
rnacentral:tRNA from 1 species